UGGAGGAAAGUAGGGGAUCGCAAGACCUAGUGCUUUUAGAGCGGCCGAUGCCUGAUUAGCUUGUUGGUGAGGUAAAAGCUUACCAAGGCUUCGAUCAGUAGCUGGUCUGAGAGGACGGCCAGCCACACUGGGACUGAGACACGGCCCAGACUCCUACGGGAGGCAGCAGUGGGGAAUUUUGGACAAUGGGGGCAACCCUGAUCCAGCCAUGCCGCGUGAGUGAAGAAGGCCUUCGGGUUGUAAAGCUCUUUCAGCCGGAACGAAACGGUUACGGUUAAUACCCGUAACUACUGACGGUACCGGAAGAAGAAGCACCGGCUAACUACGUGCCAGCAGCCGCGGUAAUACGUAGGGUGCGAGCGUUAAUCGGAAUUACUGGGCGUAAAGCGUGCGCAGGUGGUUAUGUAAGUCAGAUGUGA
rnacentral:rRNA from 1 species